rnacentral:rRNA from 1 species
AUUGAACGCUGGCGGCAUGCCUUACACAUGCAAGUCGAACGGCAGCGGGGGAGAAGCUUGCUUUUCCUGCCGGCGAGUGGCGAACGGGUGAGUAAUACAUCGGAACGUGCCCUGUAGUGGGGGAUAACUAGACGAAAGAUUAGCUAAUACCCCAUACGACCUGAGGGUGAAAGUGGGGGACCGCAAGGCCUCAUGCUAUAGGAGCGGCCGAUGUCUGAUUAGCUAGUUGGUGGGGUAAAGGCCUACCAAGGCGACGAUCAGUAGCUGGUCUGAGAGGACGAUCAGCCACACUGGGACUGAGACACGGCCCAGACUCCUACGGGAGGCAGCAGUGGGGAAUUUUGGACAAUGGGCGAAAGCCUGAUCCAGCAAUGCCGCGUGUGUGAAGAAGGCCUUCGGGUUGUAAAGCACUUUUGUCCGGAAAGAAAUGGCUCUGGUUAAUACCUGGGGUCGAUGACGGUACCGGAAGAAUAAGGACCGGCUAACUACGUGCCAGCCGCCGCGGUAA